GAUGAACGCUGGCGGUGUGCCUAAUACAUGCAAGUCGAGCGAACAGAUGAGGAGCUUGCUCCUCUGACGUUAGCGGCGGACGGGUGAGUAACACGUGGAUAACCUACCUAUAAGACUGGGAUAACUUCGGGAAACCGGAGCUAAUACCGGAUAAUAUAUUGAACCGCAUGGUUCAAUAGUGAAAGACGGUUUUGCUGUCACUUAUAGAUGGAUCCGCGCCGCAUUAGCUAGUUGGUAAGGUAACGGCUUACCAAGGCAACGAUGCGUAGCCGACCUGAGAGGGUGAUCGGCCACACUGGAACUGAGACACGGUCCAGACUCCUACGGGAGGCAGCAGUAGGGAAUCUUCCGCAAUGGGCGAAAGCCUGACGGAGCAACGCCGCGUGAGUGAUGAAGGUCUUCGGAUCGUAAAACUCUGUUAUUAGGGAAGAACAAAUGCGUAAGUAACUAUGCACGUCUUGACGGUACCUAAUCAGAAAGCCACGGCUAACUACGUG
rnacentral:rRNA from 1 species